GCGAUAAGCGCCGGUAAGGUGAUAUGAACCGUUAUAACCGGCGAUACCCGAAUGGGGAAACCCAGUGUGAUUCGUCACACUAUCAUUAACUGAAUCCAUAGGUUAAUGAGGCGAACCGGGGGAACUGAAACAUCUAAGUACCCCGAGGAAAAGAAAUCAACCGAGAUUCCCCCAGUAGCGGCGAGCGAACGGGGAGGAGCCCAGAGCCUGAAUCAGCAUGUGUGUUAGUGGAAGCGUCUGGAAAGGCGCGCGAUACAGGGUGACAGCCCCGUACACAAAAGCGCAUGUGCUGUGAGCUCGAUGAGUAGGGCGGGACACGUGGUAUCCUGUCUGAAUAUGGGGGGACCAUCCUCCAAGGCUAAAUACUCCUGACUGACCGAUAGUGAACCAGUACCGUGAGGGAAAGGCGAAAAGAACCCCGGCGAGGGGAGUGAAAAAGAACCUGAAACCGUGUACGUACAAGCAGUGGGAGCACCCUUUGGGUGUGACUGCGUACCUUUUGUAUAAUGGGUCAGCGACUUAUAUUCUGUAGCAAGGUUAACCGAAUAGGGGAGCCGGAGGGAAACC
rnacentral:rRNA from 1 species